UCAAGAACCCCUCACACAACUCUCUCACUUACCAUUCAUCCACUCAGCCGCUUCAAAAAAACGAAAACCCUCUCUCGAUUUCUCCAUCUCCCUCUCUCGUUUUCUCCCUCUCUCCCUGAACAUCCAAACGCAACACGGAGGAAUGCUCCCAGCCGUCUUCUCCGAUAUCCCUCUCUCAAUUCGUCUCCGGUCGUGUUCGAUGUAGAAUGAGAUGAGGAUCGAAACUGAUGUCGUGAUGAUGCAAAGUGAAGUUCGAACUGUAUUAUAUUUCUUGUUCUCACUUCUCUCACUCAUUCAUUCCCAGAUUUCUUUAUUUUUAAUUUAGGGUUUGUGAUGAUUGUUGUCCUUUACAUGUGAGUAAAGGACUUUGAACCAAUAAUCCCACUUUAUACGUGAUUAGGGUUUGCUGACUUCUUUUAUUUCUUUAUGCAGCUUCCAACUCAGUUAUAUAUGGCAGUGGUAAGGACUCUAGCUGAAGAAUAAUGAGUUAUGUUACCUAGGAAAUCGUUAUUGUUAUAUGAAUUUCCAUUUCUCAAUUAGACUGUACGAUGUUACAUUUUUACUGAUGUAUUGAUAUGCAGCUGUAUACCUUUGUAACUGUAGCACUUGGUUCACAAUCCAUUUACUAUGGAUACAUAUACAAGAGACAACUCAAGAUGCAAAUUCGUAUCCCUAUGCUGAGAUACAUUCAGUAAACUCAAAUUGUGUAAUGCAAUACUUUCAUCUGUAUUCUAUCAUUGCAUGAAUAAGCAGGUUGAGACACCAACAAAAGUCAGUGAUGCUGAACAGAGUCAUGAAUUUGAUUAUUUCAGUAGAGGCGCUGUUCUGAGUUCUCCUAUUCCUCGUCCAGCACACCUUCCAAGCAUAUCUACCGGAAGAGAAUUAUUCUACCAGUUAGCAUUGAGGUAGGAAGAAUGAUUUCUGCUUUACAUACAAACUUGCACCAUAUAUUUGACCAAGAGCUAUUGAUUUUUGAACAAAUGUAUCAAGAUUUGCGUCAAGAGUCAACGAGGAUAGAGAGUCAAUACGAACUCGUUUGGAUUCUGGUUGUGGAAAAGGGAACUGCGUGGACCAAAACGAAGCCGAAGUUUGAGAGGCUGCAAUCAAUGAUGCCAUGGUACCCAGUUUAUGACCCUUCGCACAGUGGGAGGCAGCCACUCAGUUGCUAUCUGCAACUAUGAUUAUCCAUGCCCAUUCAGUGCCUCCUACUUCAGUGUCUACUCUGUUUCUGCGUCCAUGGUUUCAAGAAGAUAUAGAAUGUUGGAUGGAAAGUGGAUUCAACAUGGUUUCAAGAAGAUAUUGAAUGUUUAAUCUUCUAGAAAUUAUGUUUAACGAUUUGAGUUUCAUGUAUAUCUGUUCAUUCCUGUCUUUAAAGAUUAUGUGUAGUUUCUCAGACUACACAAUACUAACACAUGCCUUUUAAAUUUAUAUGCAUUGGCCAAAACAGUUCUUUUAU